GAGUGAAAUGUUUUCCCAGACAAGAAAAAACUGAAGGAGUUUGUUACCAUCAAACAAGUAUUACAAGGUAUGUUGAAGGGCCUGCUUUAAGAAGGUGAAGAAGA